rnacentral:rRNA from 1 species
CUCAAUGUAAUUAAAUAGCCGCAAUAUCUGUGCUAAGGUAGCAUAAUCAUUUGUUUUUUAAUUAAAAACUAGAACGAAAGAUUUAACAUUUUUAUUUCUAUCUAACAUAUAAUUUAUUUAACUUAUUUCAAAUAUAAAAAAAUAUUUAUUCAUAAAGAAGACGAUAAGACCCUAUUGAACUUAACUAUAGUUAAACUGGGGCAGUUAAUUAAAUAUAAUUUUAAUUUAAAUAUAAAAAAACCUAAUACAAUUAAAAAAUCAAGUUACCAUAGGGAUAACAGCGUAAUAAUUUUCUUAAGCUCUUAUUUUAAAAAUUGUUUACGACCUCGAUGUUGAAUUAAUUAUCUAUUAAACGCAACAACUUAAUAAGAAAGUC